rnacentral:rRNA from 1 species
AGCGAACGCUGGCGGCAGGCUUAACACAUGCAAGUCGAGCGGGCGUAGCAAUACGUCAGCGGCAGACGGGUGAGUAACGCGUGGGAACAUACCUUUUGGUUCGGAACAACACAGGGAAACUUGUGCUAAUACCGGAUAAGCCCUUACGGGGAAAGAUUUAUCGCCGAAAGAUUGGCCCGCGUCUGAUUAGCUAGUUGGUGAGGUAACGGCUCACCAAGGCGACGAUCAGUAGCUGGUCNGAGAGGAUGAUCAGCCACAUUGGGACUGAGACACGGCCCAAACUCCUACGGGAGGCAGCAGUGGGGAAUAUUGCGCAAUGGACGAAAGUCUGACGCAGCGACGCCGCGUGUGGGAUGACGGUCUUCGGAUUGUAAACCACUGUCGGGAGGGACGAAUACGCGCAAGGCGGGUGACGGUACCUCCAAAGGAAGCACCGGCUAACUCCGUGCCA